rnacentral:rRNA from 1 species
CAGAACUCUGCUGAGAAAAACACGUGAGGCCUUCUUUGGCGGCACUCUCCUCUCUAGCUUCACCAAAUCCUUUGGCAUUGAGUGAGUCCCCCUCCCCCCUCCCUCCGCAUCGCCCCGCGCGGCGACCAGAGGGCCAACCCUAAUCCCCACCGGUCCCAGCCCCCACCCUCGCUGCCGCUUGGGGGUGCGGCCGGGCGAAGCCUAGCCGCCGCUGGCAGCGGCGGGGCCUUCUUGGUCUUCCCGUUCGGGCGUGUUGGUGUGGACCGUCGCGCUGGGCCGGAGCGUGGCGCUAGAGCCGGGCGUCACGGUGGCGUGGCGGGCAGUUGCGGAGCCGCGGCGCUUCUGCUCCCCCUUGGCGGGCGGCCAGGUGGUGGGCGAGCCUUGGUCUCCAGGGACGGCGACUUCGAGGACAGAUCUGGGGCAGGCGGCGCGGGCUGCAGGUUUCUGCCCCUGCCAUGGCCGCGGCGUAUGGUGGAGCGACGCAGCUGUGGCUGGCCGGUGGCGGGGGCCGGGAUCCAGUGGCUACAGCGGCUGGACGACGGUGGGAAGCGCAGAUGGGCUCCUUGGUGAGCUUCCUUGGUGGUUAGCGGCGGCCCUUGGGAUUUCUCCUUGCCGGUGGAUAGGUGUGUGUUGGUGCCUCGCGUGGAGCUGCGUCUGCCGCCGAGGUGGGGCGACACAGGGGCUGUCCUGUGGGGAGGCAGGCUGGAGGGAUGGGAGGCGCCGCCGAGCUCGGGCCACCCGUCGCCGACAAAGGGGUGUGCCGGUCGUGGAUGCGUCCGCUCCCACUCCCCCCUUUCCCCGUCCGUGUGUGUGCUUCGGCGUUGUUCGAGGCAGGACGUAUGUUGCGGUCUCUUCAGUCGGGUGCGUCCGUUGGCCCAAAGUCGGUCACUUUGGUCGGUCUUGGGGGUGUCUGGAUGUAGGGCGGCGGGAGGCACCGCGUUCGUGGGCGGAACUUGCGUCUCGGGUGCGGGCAAGCAGCCAUGGCCACGCGGGUGGGUGGUCCCUGGUGGUUGGCGGAGGGGUGGGAGUGCUGGGGUACAUCACUUGCCCAAUCGUUGUAUUGGCCGACGGCGGCGGCGGCCGUGGACGCCGUAUCCUUCAUGAAGGCUCCGUCGCGGUGUCCCUACUCCUUCGUGAUGCUUUGGGUGAAAACACGAUCUUCAAGAUCAUAUGGUGGCGGCUAUAGCUCCAAACGGUUCUUCUUCGCUCAUUUGUAGUGGCUUUGUAUUCGUUGGGGUGGCGUGGCGGUGCUCAGCACCUUUAUAUCUUGCCUUGUGUGUGUGUGUUGUGUGCGGUGGUGGCGUGAGUUUGUAUCAUUGUGCUUGUGGGUCGGUGCUUUAUAUAUAAAGCAGGGCGAAAGCCUUUUUGGAUAAUCCUUUGGCAUCUCUUUGUUAUCAGUAUACCCUGAUGAUACCAAGCAAUGCAGCAAGCAAGAUUUGUAACUGAGUAGGUUAAAUUUAUGGACUUUAAGAAUAACAAGAAGGCUUAGGCGCUCUGCUAGAAUAGUACCU